UAUGAUCUGAAGUCAGGUGGGAUUACCCGCUGAACUUAAG
rnacentral:rRNA from 1 species